rnacentral:rRNA from 1 species
UACGGAGGGUGCAAGCGUUGCUCGGAAUCACUGGGCGUAAAGCGUACGCAGGCGGCUCGAUAAGUCGGGUGUGAAAGCCCGGGGCUCAACCCCGGAAUUGCGCCCGAUACUGCCGAGCUUGAGUACGGGAGAGGGAUAGCGGAAUUCCUGGUGUAGAGGUGAAAUUCGUAGAUAUCAGGAGGAACACCAGUGGCGAAGGCGGCUCACUGGCCCGUUUCUGACGCUCAGGCACGAAAGCGUGGGGAGCAAACAGG